rnacentral:rRNA from 1 species
CAGCCGCCACGGGAAUACGAAGGGGGCUAGCGUUGUUCGGAUUUACUGGGCGUAAAGCGCACGUAGGCGGACUUUUAAGUCAGGGGUGAAAUCCCGGGGCUCAACCCCGGAACUGCCUUUGAUACUGGAAGUCUUGAGUAUGGUAGAGGUGAGUGGAAUUCCGAGUGUAGAGGUGAAAUUCGUAGAUAUUCGGAGGAACACCAGUGGCGAAGGCGGCUCACUGGACAAAGACUGACGCUCAGGUGCGAAAGCGUGGGGAGCAAACAGGAUUAGAUACCCGAGUAGUCCCUGUCUCUUAUAC